UAACGGAGGGGGAUGCGUCUGAUUAGCUNGGUUGGCGGGGCGACGGCCCACCAAGGCGACGAUCAGUAGGGGUUCUGAGAGGAAGGUCCCCCACAUUGGAACUGAGACACGGUCCAAACUCCUACGGGAGGCAGCAGUGAGGAAUAUUGGUCAAUGGGCGGAAGCCUGAACCAGCCAAGUAGCGUGCAGGAGGACGGCCCUACGGGUUGUAAACUGCUUUUAUGCGGGGAUAAAGUGAGGGACGCGUCCCUUUUUGCAGGUACCGCAUGAAUAAGGACCGGCUAAUUCCGUGCCAGCAGCCGCGGUAAUACGGAAGGUCCGGGCGUUAUCCGGAUUUAUUGGGUUUAAAGGGAGCGUAGGCCGGGGAUUAAGUGUGUUGUGAAAUGUAGGCGCCCAACGUCUGACUUGCAGCGCAUACUGGUUCCCUUGAGUACGCGCAACGCCGGCGGAAUUCGUCGUGUAGCGGUGAAAUGCUUAGAUAUGACGAAGAACCCCGAUUGCGAAGGCAGCCGGCGGGAGCGCAACUGACGCUGAAGCUCGAAGGUGCGGGUAUCGAACAGGAUUAGAUACCCUGGUAGUCCGCACGGUAAACGAUGGAUGCCCGCUGUCGGCGCCUUGCGCCGGCGGCCAAGCGAAAGCGUUAAGCAUCCCACCUGGGGAGUACGCCGGCAACGGUGAAACUCAAAGGAAUUGACGGGGGCCCGCACAAGCGGAGGAACAUGUGGUUUAAUUCGAUGAUACGCGAGGAACCUUACCCGGGC
rnacentral:rRNA from 1 species